AGCAGCCGCGGUAAUUCCAGCUCCAAUAGCGUAUAUUAAAGUUGUUGCAGUUAAAAAGCUCGUAGUUGAAUUUCGGGAUCAAUAUGUCGGUCGUGCCUCCGGUACGUACUGGCAUCAUUGAUUUCUCCCUUCUGACGAACCAUGAUGUCAUUAAUUUGGUGUCAUGGGGAGUCAGGACUGUUACUUUGAAAAAUUAGAGUGUUUAAAGCAGGCUCACGCUUGAAUACAUUAGCAUGGAAUAAUGAAAUAGGACGUUUGACCCUAUUUUGUUGGUUUCUAGGAUCGACGUAAUGAUUAAUAGGGGUAGUUGGGGGCAUUAGUAUUCAAUUGUCAGAGGUGAAAUUCUUGGAUUUAUUGAAGACUAACUACUGCGAAAGCAUUU
rnacentral:rRNA from 1 species